rnacentral:rRNA from 1 species
UACAGAGGGGGCAAGCGUUGUUCGGAAUUACUGGGCGUAAAGGGCGCGUAGGCGGCCUUCUAAGUCGAACGUGAAAUCCCCGGGCUCAACCCGGGAACUGCGUCCGAUACUGGAAGGCUUGAAUCCGGGAGAGGGAUGUGGAAUUCCAGGUGUAGCGGUGAAAUGCGUAGAGAUCAGGAGGAACACCCGUGGCGAAGGCGGCCCUCUGGCUCGACCCUGACGCUGAGAGGCGAAAGCGUGGGGAGCGAACGGG